GCUCCGGAGUGGCUCAAGUGCACUCAGGUGGUUAACCGCCUAAUAUCAAUAUAAUAAUAUAAUAUAAGGAAAGAAAUUAAUUGUUGCAUAGGGUUCGUACCGAUUGCAACCUUAAUUUAAGCAUAGGGGAAAUUGGUUGGAGAGCAGCAGACGAGUGUUCUCUAGAAAAAUUCGGCACGCUCUAUAGAAGUCCCAAGUUUACCGUCCCUCAAACCAAUCGAUACUCUUCGAUAUUCUUAGGUUAAAUAACAGAAGAAAGUGCGAAGUACAUGAUAAUGUUUUAUGGAUAGAGCAACUAAGUAACAAGUUUCACUUGGUCAACGUCGAUGUCAUUAUGCAAGUUCUCCAUCUGUAUUGUUUUGUUCCUAUUGAUAAGAAUUAGUUUAGUUUUGGCCUAGUAAAUCUGCAGACCCAA